rnacentral:rRNA from 1 species
GCCGCCCACGGUAAGAUUGAUGACUGGGGUGAAGUCGUAACAAGGUAGCCGUAGGUGAACCUGCGGCUGGAUCACCUCCUUUCUAAGG